AUUGAACGCUGGCGGCAGGCCUAACACAUGCAAGUCGAGCGGAUGAAGGGAGCUUGCUCCUGGAUUCAGCGGCGGACGGGUGAGUAAUGCCUAGGAAUCUGCCUGGUAGUGGGGGAUAACGUCCGGAAACGGGCGCUAAUACCGCAUACGUCCUGAGGGAGAAAGUGGGGGAUCUUCGGACCUCACGCUAUCAGAUGAGCCUAGGUCGGAUUAGCUAGUUGGUGGGGUAAAGGCCCACCAAGGCGACGAUCCGUAACUGGUCUGAGAGGAUGAUCAGUCACACUGGAACUGAGACACGGUCCAGACUCCUAUGGGAGGCAGCAGUGGGGAAUAUUGGACAAUGGGCGAAAGCCUGAUCCAGCCAUGCCGCGUGUGUGAAGAAGGUCUUCGGAUUGUAAAGCACUUUAAGUUGGGAGGAAGGGCAGUAAGUUAAUACCUUGCUGUUUUGACGUUACCAACAGAAUAAGCACCGGCUAACUUCGUG
rnacentral:rRNA from 1 species